rnacentral:rRNA from 1 species
GUAGGAGGCGAACGUUAUUCGGAUUUACUGGGCGUAAAGGGAGCGUAGGCGGUCCUUCAAGUCAGAUGUGAAAUCUUCUGACUCAAUCAGAAGGGGCCAUUCGAUACUGAUGGACUUGAGAGCAACAGAGGGAAAUGGAAUCCCCAGUGUAGCGGUGGAAUGCGUAGAUAUUGGGGAGAACACCAGUGGCGAAGGCGAUUUCCCAGGUUGUUUCUGACGCUGAGGCUCGAAAGCGUGGGGAGCGAAGCGGAUUAGAUACCCGCGUAGUCCACGCCGUAAACGGUGGACACUAGAUAUAGGAGGUAUCGACCCUUUCUGUGUCGAAGCUAACGCUUUAAGUGUCCCGCCUGGGGAGUACGGCCGCAAGGCUAAAACUCAAAGGAAUUGACGGUAGACCGCACAAGCAGCGGAGCGUGUGGUUUAAUUCGAUGAUACGCGAAGAACCUUACCAGGGCUUGACAUGUCAGGAGUAGGAAUCCGAAAGGAGGACGACCUGUAUCCAGUCAGGAACUGUCACAGGUGCUGCACGGCUGUCGUCAGCUCGUGCCGUGAGGUGUUGGGUUAAGUCCCGCAACGAGCGCAACCCUUGUCCUAUGUUAAAUUCUCAUGGGAGACUGCCUUGUACAGCAAGGAGGAAGGGAAGGAUGACGUCAAGUCAGCAUGGCCUUUAUGUCCUGGGCUACACACACGCUACAAUGGGUGAUACAGAGGGUUGCCAAGGAGCGAUCCGGAGCCAAUCCCAGAAAAUCAUCCUCAGUUCGGAUUGCAGGCUGAAACCGCCUGCAUGAAGUCGGAGUUGCUAGUAACCGCAGGUCAGCUACACUGCGGUGAAUACGUUCUCGGUCUGU